rnacentral:tRNA from 1 species
GCCGAAGUGGUGGAAUUGGUAGACACGCUAGCUUGAGGGGUUAGUGGGCGAAAGCUCGUGCGGGUUCAAGUCCCGCUUUCGGCACCA